UUCCAGACUCCUACGGGAGGCAGCAGUGAGGAAUAUUGGUCAAUGGUCGGGAGACUGAACCAGCCAAGCCGCGUGAGGGAUGAAGGUACAGAGUAUCGUAAACCUCUUUUGUCAGGGAACAAAGGCGGGGACGUGUCCCCGGAUGAGUGUACCUGAAGAAAAAGCAUCGGCUAACUCCGUGCCAGCAGCCGCGGUAAUACGGAGGAUGCGAGCGUUAUCCGGAUUCAUUGGGUUUAAAGGGUGCGUAGGUUGUUUUAUAAGUUAGCGGUGAAAUACCGAUGCUCAACAUCGGGGCUGCCGCUAAUACUGUAGGACUAGAGAUCGGAUGCAGCAGGCGGAAUGUGUAGUGUAGCGGUGAAAUGCAUAGAUAUUACACAGAACACCGAUUGCGAAGGCAGCUUGCUAGGCCGGAUCUGACACUGAUGCACGAAAGCGUGGGGAUCGAACAGGAUUAGAUACCCCGGUACG
rnacentral:rRNA from 1 species